GACGAACGCUGGCGGCGUGCUUAACACAUGCAAGUCGAACGGAAAGGCCCUUCGGGGUACUCGAGUGGCGAACGGGUGAGUAACACGUGGGUGAUCUGCCCUGCACUUUGGGAUAAGCCUGGGAAACUGGGUCUAAUACCGAAUACACCCUGCUGGUCGCAUGGCCUGGUGGGGGAAAGCUUUUGCGGUGUGGGAUGGGCCCGCGGCCUAUCAGCUUGUUGGUGGGGUGAUGGCCUACCAAGGCGUCGACGGGUAGCCGGCCUGAGAGGGUGUCCGGCCACACUGGGACUGAGAUACGGCCCAGACUCCUACGGGAGGCAGCAGUGGGGAAUAUUGCACAAUGGGCGCAAGCCUGAUGCAGCGACGCCGCGUGGGGGAUGACGGCCUUCGGGUUGUAAACCUCUUUCAAUAGGGACGAAGCGCGAGUGACGGUACCUAUAGAAGAAGCACCGGCCAACUACGUGCCAGCAGCCGCGGUAAUACGUAGGGUGCGAGCGUUGUCCGGAAUUACUGGGCGUAAAGAGCUUGUAGGUGGUUUGUCGCGUUGUUCGUGAAAUCUCACGGCUUAACUGUGAGCGUGCGGGCGAUACGGGCAGACUAGAGUACUGCAGGGGAGACUGGAAUUCCUGGUGUAGCGGUGGAAUGCGCAGAUAUCAGGAGGAACACCGGUGGCGAAGGCGGGUCUCUGGGCAGUAACUGACGCUGAGAAGCGAAAGCGUGGGGAGCGAACAGGAUUAGAUACCCUGGUAGUCCACGCCGUAAACGGUGGGUACUAGGUGUGGGUUUCCUUCCUUGGGAUCCGUGCCGUAGCUAACGCAUUAAGUACCCCGCCUGGGGAGUACGGCCGCAAGGCUAAAACUCAAAGGAAUUGACGGGGGCCCGCACAAGCGGCGGAGCAUGUGGAUUAAUUCGAUGCAACGCGAAGAACCUUACCUGGGCUUGACAUGCACUAGAAAGCCGUAGAGAUACGGCCCCCCUUGUGGUUGGUGUGCAGGUGGUGCAUGGCUGUCGUCAGCUCGUGUCGUGAGAUGUUGGGUUAAGUCCCGCAACGAGCGCAACCCUUGUCUCAUGUUGCCAGCACGUAAUGGUGGGGACUCGUGAGAGACUGCCGGGGUCAACUCGGAGGAAGGUGGGGAUGACGUCAAGUCAUCAUGCCCCUUAUGUCCAGGGCUUCACACAUGCUACAAUGGCCGGUACAAAGGGCUGCGAUGCCGUGAGGUGGAGCGAAUCCUUGUAAAGCCGGUCUCAGUUCGGAUCGGGGUCUGCAACUCGACCCCGUGAAGUCGGAGUCGCUAGUAAUCGCAGAUCAGCAACGCUGCGGUGAAUACGUUCCCGGGCC
rnacentral:rRNA from 1 species